rnacentral:lncRNA from 1 species
UUUCUGCUUGAUAGUCUCAUGUAGAUACUAGAACUUUUUGAUUUAAAGUGAUUGCAAACUGGGAUGAUAUAGUGGAUUUAUGUAGCAAAGAUAGAGCUACUGGAGUGGGUGCUGAAACAUGUGCAGAAGCUGCUGAGAUUAUGACUCCUGAGAGUGAUCCCAAUAAUAUUGUUGAUUUGGAAAGUGAUACUCAAGGUUUUGAGAGUUAUCAGGUUGAUGAUGUUUCACCCAGCUCUAGUUGUCCAAAGAGAAGAAAUCAAAAUCCUUUUGAUAUUCCCC